UAUAAGCAUACUGAGGCAUCACUGAGUUCAAUCAAAAUGACUAAAAAGAGGUCUCCAACAAGUGACCAUCUUCCCUUCACUUAAAGCUCUUUAGUGAGACAGAACCUACUCUUUCCUCCAGGAAGAUCACUCCAUUUUGAGAUGAGAAAAUUGGAAAAAAGGAUGGAGAAGAAAAGGAAGAAGAGCAGGAGGAAAAAAAGGAAGAGAAGAUACCCAAAUUAAACAUUGAGAACUGCUAGACCAUCUAAAGAAUAUUUCAAUAAAGAAUUUAAAAUAAUCAGAUUACAAAAU